UGCUCCUGCCAGAAAAGGUAGAAAAGUGCUAAUUAAAAUUAGUGAUGACAGAAUGUUGGGAGGCUUUCAAUAAGGAGGAUGUUCACAGUACUCGCAGGCAAAAAUAGAAUACUCUUGAGGACUGGGAUAGAGAAAAAUGGGAGGAAAUACAUGAGUUAAAACAGGACUAUGUUUUCUGUGUAAUAUGAAGGGAAGGGAGGGGAGGUGUAAUACUGGAAACAGAAAAUGGAGCUUCAUGCAUUUUUAUGAUGUGGUGAUAAGGAAUUACGCUAAAUGACUUGUCCAAGCAUUUGACCCCAAACAUUCAUUAUUUCUCCUUUGUCUCCGCCUUUGUCCAAAGAUGUCAAAGUGCUCCAGCCUCUGAGCAAACUUAGGAAGAUGUGAAGAAGAUGUUGUGGAAAGUUGAGACAGUAUUUGAGUUCUCCAAUUCACUCAUUUACUGAAUGAACAGGCCUGAAAGCAUUUAGCUCCUCUCCAGGACUGUGUACUUAGAUUCUCUGGGAAGCAUCAGUGUACCAGUUCUCCCAAUUUUACAGACAACAAAGCUACUAAGAGAGAUGUGGCUGAUUUACAGAGGAGACAGGGUAAAGCCAGAGCAAUUUUAGAACAGAGAGCCUAAUCUUUCUGUUUCUUAUUCUUUUAAUAGUUAUUUUCACAUGGAAAAGAAGUAUGCUCUCUGAAGUCUUUGGGAGUUUUCCCAUUGGUUUAAAUAAGAUGAAGGCAAGUCUGAAAUAAUACAUCAAAUUGAUGUUUUCUACCAAUUCCUGAAAAGUCUUAGUUUCAAAUGCUGUUGAGAUUCUGUUUCUUUUUUUUGUGCUGGUUUCUUGUUGCUUUUUUUCACCAGCAAAAAAACAUAGGAGAACAGAAGCCUUCAGCAGCGUGCUUACUUUGAUAAAACACUUGCUGGGAAAUCUUGCUCACAUUACAGAAUGCAAUUGUUAGUUAAACGUAGAGGAAGUUCUGUAAAAGCUGAUGAUUGAAACUCUCAACUGGGAGAGGGGAACUGUGUUCAAGUGUAUGUCUGAUGACAGGUAACAUAGUUAUCCAGAAUAAAAACUUCAUGAACACAAGUACAGUGAUAGUCAGUGUUUCUGUACGGACCAUAAUCAUCAGCAAUCUGAGAUCUGUGCUCUGUUUUUCCCCCUCUUAACUCCAGUUUCUCAUUCAAACCCACUGCCUUGAAAAAGACAGACACUUCAGAAGUUCAUCAGUUCUACCCAUCAGUUCUACCAAAAAAAACAAUGAAUUGCUCUCUGUAUCUAUUUUUCUCAGUAGACUAAUGGAAAGCCUGAGUAAUUAGCCUAAAUCUUUACAAAGGUAACCUUUUAUGAGAUGGGACACCCCAGCCUUCUAAAAUUCUUGUUUUCUUCUAAUUCUUGAUUUUUUUUACAGAAAAGUAAAAUAGUUUUCUUCCCAGCUCUGUCUCCAUGGAGGUUACUGGUAGGUGGAAAUGAGGCUAUCCCUUUUUAAAUCAUUAUUGAACAAAUAAUAUCAAGGUAAGGCAAUCUGUUGAAUACUAAUGUUAUUUGUCUAGCCUACACCAUUAUCUCAUUCAAUUUACAGCAGUUAUUAAACCUGUGCUGCACUGGUAUAAACAAAAAGGUAGGAAGCUUCAUUAUAGUUUGCCAUGUAUUGUCUUUCCUUUUAUUGAAUGAUGGAGUAAUAGCUUUAAAAAGACCCAGUUCUUUCCGGUGUUUUGGAGCACAGCUGCAGAGGCUUUUCUGCAGGAUGGUAAAUAUUCAUUAAAACAACAGAAGUGAUCAGGCAUACAAGAGACAGGUAGCUCUGAACUGCAGGACUACUUCAAGCUGUGACAGUGAAAUACAGGGGGAUUUAGAAAAAAAAAAAAAAAAA